AAGAGACAGCAGCAGCCGCGGGAAUACGUAGGUGGCAAGCGUUGUCCGGAAUUAUUGGGCGUAAAGGGCUCGCAGGCGGUUUCUUAAGUCUGAUGUGAAAGCCCCCGGCUCAACCGGGGAGGGUCAUUGGAAAUUGGGAAACUUGAGUGCAGAAGAGGAGAGUGGAAUUCCACGUGUAGCGGUGAAAUGCGUAGAGAUGUGGAGGAACACCAGUGGCGAAGGCGACUCUCUGGUCUGUAACUGACGCUGAGGAGCGAAAGCGUGGGGAGCGAACAGGAUUAGAUACCCCUGUAGUCCCUGUCUCUUAUAC
rnacentral:rRNA from 1 species